UCUUGCUGGACGCACGCUCCCCGGGCGCCUGCCCUGGCUGUCCGUUGGAAGGAGAUGCUCUGCCCCAAGACUUCUGCCGUGUUGAAACGCGGAAACCUCGUCACUGGCCGUCCAACCAUAGCAGCAGAGCUGCACCCCGGGGCUGAAGCCUUCUGUCCCAGAGACCCCAGCCACAGUGCUUUCCUGUGCUUUAUGGACUAUCUCUACCAAUGUUUCUUUAAGCUCAUUUACCAUGUUCAGCGUGCUGUCUCUGAAUAUCCGAGAAGUCACAAGAGCUGGUUGG